CCUACGGGUGGCAGCAGUAGGGAAUCUUUCACAAUGGGCGAAAGCCUGAUGGAGCAACGCCGCGUGCAGGAUGAAGGCCUUCGGGUUGUAAACUGCUUUUAUAAGCGAGAAAUAUGAUGGUAACUUAUGAAUAAGGAUCGGCUAACUACGUGCCAGCAGCCGCGGUCAUACGUAGGAUCCGAGCAUUAUCCGGAGGGACUGGGUGGUAAGAGUUGCGUAGGUGGCAUAAUAAGUAGCUAGUGAAAUCUGGUGGCUCAACCAUUCAGACUAUUAGCUAAACUGUUGAGCUCGAGACCGUUAGGGGUAAGUGGAAUGUCUAGUGUAGGAGUGAAAUCCGUAGAUAUUAGACGGAACACCAAUAGCGUAGGCAGGUUGCUGGGACGGUUCUGACACUAAGGCACGAAAGCGUAGGGAGCAAACGGGAUUAGAUACCCGGGUAGUC
rnacentral:rRNA from 1 species